AAUGAAAUUAACUAUUUGGUCUCUGUAUUUUUUAAAAUAUACUAUUUAGAUCUUAUAUUUUAUUUCCGUUAAACUGUUUAGUUUUUGAACUUUAAUGGUAAUUUCAAUAAUAUUUUUGAAGAGUUUUUGUGAUACAUGUUAAAAUUUAAGGACAUUACUGAAACAACCAUCAAUAUUUAAGAACGGUGAGGGAAAUUUAACCUUCCUUUUAUCAUUAUGAACUUUUUAUCUUGCAGAAUGAAGCUGUCGUCAACUAUGCUCUUAAUAUGAGCGAUGUCAAACUUGUCCCAUGU
rnacentral:misc_RNA from 1 species